GACGAACGCUGGCGGCGUGCUUAACACAUGCAAGUCGAACGGUGAAGCGCUUGCCUUUUUGGUGGGUGUGGAUGAGUGGCGAACGGGUGAGUAACACGUGAGUAACCUGCCCUCUUCUUCUGGAUAACCUCAUGAAAGUGGGGCUAAUACGGGGUAUUCCGGGUCUGUCGCAUGGCGGGUUUGGGAAAGAUUGCGCCUUUGGGUGUUUUCGGUGGGGGAUGGGCUCGCGGCCUAUCAGCUUGUUGGUGGGGUGAUGGCCUACCAAGGCGGUGACGGGUAGACGGCCUGAGAGGGUGGACGGCCACACUGGGACUGAGACACGGCCCAGACUCCUGCGGGAGGCAGCAGUGGGGAAUAUUGCACAAUGGGCGCAAGCCUGAUGCAGCGACGCCGCGUGAGGGAUGGAGGCCUUCGGGUUGUGAACCUCUUUCGCCAGUGAAGCAGGCCUGCUCCUGUGUGGGUGGGUUGACGGUAGCUGGAUAAGAAGCGCCGGCUAACUACGUG
rnacentral:rRNA from 1 species